GCCGGGCGCGGUGGCGCGUGCCUGUAGUCCCAGCUACUUGGGAGGCUGAGGCUGGAGGAUCGCUUGAGUCCAGGAGUUCUGGGCUGUAGUGCGCUAUGCCGAUCGGGUGUCCGCACUAAGUUUGGCAUCAAUAUGGUGACCUCCCGGGAGUGGAGGACCACCAGGUUGCCUAAGGAGGGGUGAACCGGUCCAGGUCGGAAUGAAACAUUUACAAAAAUUGACAUUUCCUUAUGCAUAGAUAUUUCACUAGGUCCUUAAAACCCACGUGAAUCUGUGAU
rnacentral:lncRNA from 10 species